ensembl:lncRNA
GGUCCCGAAUGCGCUGCUUACCUCGUUUGAAAAUUCCCCCCUUAGACCAACUCCGCCUCACUGCGCCCCGCUGCCAAUCACAUAACCCUUGCACCGCUCCCUUCGCACCCCGGUUAGCCAAUCCACUCCAGGUCUGAUUUUACGAUCUCCCGCUGAUGUUAAGACUAUCUUCGAACCCCCAGAAGACCCCUGCCUUCAGCCAUAUCAACAACUGGAACCGCUCAGACUGCUUGCGACUUCGCAUAGGGAGCGGCCGAUUUCAACAGCAACUUGCGUCUCUUUCCUUAUCCGCAUAUCAUUCGACUCUGAGAUAAACCUGCUCAACUCCUCUUUUUUUGAGUCUCUCGAUCAAAUUGAUAUCUCUGACUUGGACACCUUUAUUGGUACGAGUUCCCCGAAUUCUUCACCACCAGUGCUUGUGCGAUCCACAGGAAAGAAUAUUCGUCUCUCCACACGGGACAGAGAGUAUUUGCUCUCUACGCUAGAUCGCCCUGCUUCAUCUGGCCCCAGUUCCAUUCCCGUCGGAGCUUGUUCUCUCCCGCAACCCUCUGGGAAAAACUUGCGCCUGUCCGCCGGGGACAGACCCAGAUGUGUUAACCUGAUCCCUGCGAAACACCAGCUCUGCGUGGAUUUUGACCGCGAGUGACCGGAUGUUGUUUCCGGCCUGAGGUUGCCUGAAAUGCCGUGAGGCUCGUUUGAAAGAUUGCGCCCGAGACCAACUCCGCCUCCAAGGCAUGCCUACCUUUAGCUGCCACCAGUGAGAUAUCAGAGCCGGGCUCCACAUAUCCAAUCAGGAGCACGAGCAAGACAGCUUUUGCAGACUCUCCAGAAAUAUACAAGUCCUUACCAACUGCUCUGCAACCCAGUGUUUCUGGUCCCCUCACUAACAUCGCUUUUUGAGAUAUUUUUUAUGAACCACCAAAAAAGCAAUUUUACCCCACAGACUGGGUCUGAGGGCAGCAGCGGGGACAAAUGAUUGAAGCGACGGACAUUUCAUGGCUGGUCUUGCAUAAUCGUGAGUUAUUAUGUCAUAUGGUGAUAAGUACAUAGUUUUGCAAGAGGCAUACAAGCACUGUGGAAAAAGUAAUCAUAAAACUGUUUUUGUGAACACCCUACGUUAUGCUUUAAAAAAUGUGAUACAUGUAAUGUGAUCAUCAAAGAACAUGAUUUUUUUUAAAAAAAACUUUUAUUCUUAUGCUUUUAAAGUAUGUCAGAUUAUCUUAAAACACUUAUUUGUAUGUUAUAAUGUUUUUCUUACACCAUGUGUAAUUUUUAUAGACACCUUAUUCAUUGUAUCAAUGUGUAAUUAUGUAUCUUUUGAUAAAUAAAUAAAAUAUUUAAUCUUG